rnacentral:rRNA from 1 species
UACGAGGGGGGCAAGUGUUGUUCGGAUUUACUGGGUGUAAAGGGAGCGCAGGCGGGAAAGCAAGUCAGAGGUGAAAUCCCCAUGCUUAACAUGGGUGCUGCCUUUGAUACUGCUUUUCUUGAGUGUUGGAGAGGGUAACGGAAUUCCAGGUGUAGCGGUGGAAUGCGUAGAUAUCUGGAAGAACACCAGUUGCGAAGGCGGUUACCUGGCCAAAUACUGACGCUCAUGCUCGAAAGCAGGGGGAGCAAACAGG